GCGUCGCCUCUCUUCCAUUGCGUCGCAUCUCUUCCCUUGCGUCGCCUCUCUUCCCUUGCGUUGCAACACUUCCCGUUACAGUUUUCCCUUUCGUCGCCACUCUUUCCUUGCGAGGCAUCUCUUCCCAUCUCAGCUUUCCAUUUCGUCGCCUCUCUUCCUGUUUCAGCUUUCCCUUGCGUCGCCUCUCUUCCCGUUUCUGCUUUCCACUGCGUCGCCUCUCUUCCUUAGUGUCGCCUCUCUUCCCUUGCGUCGCCUCUCUUCCCGUUUCAGCUUUCCCUUGCGUCGCCUCUCUUCCCAUUUCCGCAUUCCCUUGCGUCGCCUCUCUUCCCGUUUCAGCUUUCCCUUGCGUCGCCUCUCUUCCGGUUUCCGCAUUCCCUUGCGUCGCCUCUCUUCCCAUUUCAGCUUUCCCUUGCGUCGCCUCUCUUCCCGUUUCAACUUUCCCUUGCGUCGCCUCUCUUCUUGUUUCAGCUUUCCCUUACGUCGCUUCUCUUCCCGUUUCAGCUUUCCCUUGCGUCUCCGCUCUUCCCUUGCGUCGCCUCUCUUCCCUUGCAUUGCCUCUCUUCCCUUGAGUCACCUCUCUUCCCAUUUCAGCUUUACGUUGCGUCGCCUCUCUUCCCUUGCGUCUCCUCUCUUCCCGUUUCCGCAUUCCAAUGCGUCGCCUCUCUUCCUUUGCGUUGUCUCUCUUCCCGUUUCCGCUUUCCCUUGCGUCGCCUCUCUUCCCUUGCGUCGCGUCUCCUCCCUUGCGUCGCCUCUCUUCCCGUUUCAGCUUUCCCUUGCGUCGCCGCUCUUCCCUUGCGCCGCCGCUCUUCCCUUGCGUUGCCUCUCUUUCCUUGCGUCUCCUCUCAUCCCGUUUCCGCUUUCGCAUGCGUCGCCUCUCUUCCUUUGCGUCGCCUCUCUUCCCGUUUCAGCUUUCCCUUGCCUCACCUCUCUUCCCUUGCGUCUCCUCUCUUCCCGUUUCAGCUUUCCCUUGCGUCGCCUCUCUCCCCUUGCGUCACCUCACUUUCCCUGUGUCGCCUGUCUUCCCGUUUCACCUUUCUCAUGCAUCGCCACUCUUCCCUUGCGACGCCUCUCUUCCCAUUUCGGCUUUCCGUUGCGUCGCCUCCUUUUCCUUGCGUUGCCUUCCUUCCCUUGCUGUCCUUUCCCUGUCUGGUUUUCCUUGCGUCGCCUCUCUUGCCUUGCGUCGCAUCUCUUCCCUUGUGUCGCCUCUUUUCCCGUUUCAGCUUUCCCUUGCGUUGCCUCUAUUCCCUU
rnacentral:lncRNA from 1 species